CAGAAGCCCGCCCACGCACCUUUCAUUCACUAGAGAGAACCUUUACAAUCAGGAUGACAGAGGAGAAUAAGGAAAAGGUUCAGCUUCAAGAUGGAGUGUACAUCCAAGAAAGGGUGAUACAACAUCCCCCGCAUAUUAGGCUCAGCAGAAGUCAAGAAAGAGGUAGACUCAUGCUCCAGGAAUACAAGUUAAAAAUCCUUCAAAGUAAAAUCAAUGCCGCAAGAGAAGUGAGAAUAAAAGAACCUCAGAAGACUGCUGACAAGCCGUCAUGCUCAGAGGAAGAAGCCUAUCGAUUCUUCUGCCAUAAAUUUGAUGAAUUGGAGAAGAAUGGACCUACCACUGGCACACUUUCACAACAGGUAGCCCAGCAAUAGUGAAGAAUAUACAUUUGCUGGAAAAUGUACGAAGAUAGCUGUGAUCAUAAAUGUAUUAAAGGCCCAGUGCAGUCAAAAACGUGAUUUCCUGAGUUUUAUAUACACUGA